ACCCUGGGAGUUACAUUUGCUGCUUUUCUCAAGGUUGACGGUGCUGGAGAGAAGCUCCUGAAAAGGUGAUCAAGUGAAAUUCAUCUCCUGAGUGGUCAUCUGCCAGUCCACUGCCUACCUGCUCUCUAUUCCGAGGCUCCGGCAAGCCAUUGAGACUGGAGCUGGGCUGCCUGGAUCUCCUCUGCUUUCCCACAUGAAGUGAGGGGUCAGCGUGUCGCUUGAGGCCCACCAUGAUCCCGCACAGACCUCUGUGGCGGCUUUGUUCUUCCUGACCAUAGCGUUAUAUUGACCAGAUGAGAAAAUGCAAGUCUAGAAGGACAAAUUUUAUUUACACCAGCCGGGACCCAACUCUGCUCCUCGGAGAGAAGGGUCCAGAUCAUGAAUUACAGAAAGAAAUCUCCUGGAGAGCCUACCCUGGAAGUCAGGACCACUGUGAAAUUUCCCCCACCUUCCCUCUCCUCUUCCUCACUGGGCUGAGGUUGCCCUCAGGGGCCAAUUGUUCAGUCUCUGGGUCUGCUUGCUGGUCCCCACGCCAGAGUGGAUCAUAUAGCUCCUGCUCAACUCUCCAUCUACAUUUUUUCCACCCAAAGAAAGAAUAAGAUUCAGGCCCAGUCUAAUGCCUUUUUCUCUCAUGUUCCCCCAACCUUUCCCAGAUGCAAGUGGCUUCCUCUGCUCUGUGUCCUAAAAGCUCUGACUGCAGAAUACUUCCCUGUAUUAUAAGCAGUGUAGCUUAUAAGUUUGUGUGGCUCCCACUGGGUUAACUGGCUCCUUUAGGAAAGGAGAUAUUUUAUUUGCCUUUGACUUAUUAGAAGUGUUUAUGUAUCAUAGGUGCUCAGUACAUGUUUAAGGACCUGCAUUAUUUAAUGCUAAGGUUACAGAUAUUCAGAAUAGCAUCUUCUUGGCUUUAGAAAUUUAAGAAUUUUCAUUGCUUAAUCCUGUCAAGCCUGACAAUCUGUGGCAGCAAGCACAUCUCAGUUCUUCUGAGCCCUGCUCCUGACCUUUCUCCUGAGUCUUCUCUUGAUCUAUAAAGGAGGAAAAUAAGAACCCUUCCUCUGAAUGUACAUGAUGUGGGCAGCCUCAACUCUGUAUGGGGAAGAAGAAAAGGCUGUGGUCAGGCUGGGGCACUUUACUUUUUAGAAUCCUUGCCUGCAUCCUUCUCAAAGAGCACUCCUCUGAUAGUCCCUUCAGUACCCUGAGGCUUUAUCUACACUCUUCUUGAAAUGUCCUUCAGCUUUACUUUGAUUCCAAAGCAGAGAAAGACCCCCCUAAAAAAAAGAACUACAGGCUAAUCGCCCUAAUGAACAUAGAUGCAAUAAGAUACUGGCAAACAGAAUACAGAGGGUCAUCAAGAAGAUCAUACACCCUGACCAAGUUGGAUUUAUUCCAGGGAUGCAAGGAUGGUUCAACUUACACAAAUCAAUAAAUGUAAUACACUACAUUAACAGAGGCAAGGACAGAAACCAUAUCAUCAUCUCAAUAGAUGCAGAAAAAGCAUUCAACAAAAUUCAACACUGUUCCAAAUUUGAAAUCAUACUACAAAGCCACUGUGAUAAAAACAGCAUGGUACUAGCAAAGAAACAGACCUGAGGAUCAGUGGAAUAGAUUGGAAGAUACAGAAACAACUUCAGAUGUACUGAGCUAUUUCACCUUUGACAAGGAGCUGACCAUCCUCAGUGGAGGAAAGAUAGCCUCUUUAAUAAAUGGUGCUGGAAAAACUGGAUUUCAACCUGCCAAAGAUUAAAACUAGACCCUUAUCUUUCACCAUGCACUAACUAAAAUUCAAGAGGAUUAAAGAUAUAAACAUUAAAACAGAAAGAAUAAACUUGCUGGAAGAAAAGUUAGAUAGAACUCUCAAAGACAUAGGCAUAGGAAAAGACUUUAUGAACAAAUCCUCAGUAGCACAGGAACUAGCACAAAGAAUCAACAACUGGGACCACAUCCUAUUAAAAAGUUUCUUCACUAAAACAGAACCCACCAGCAGAGCUAAGAGACAACCUACAAUGUGGAAAAAGUUUUUUACAAGCUGCUCCUCAGAAAAAGAACUAUAAUCUAGAAUAUAUAAAGAACUCCAAAAAAUUAGGUCCCCAAAUAUAAAGACCUGAUGCAAAAAUGGGCAUCUGAAAUGAACAGACAUUUCUCAAAGAAGUAAAAGCAGCAUAUAAAUAUAUGAAAAAAUGUUCAACGUCACUGAUCAUUGGAGAGAUACAGAUGAAAAAAACACUGAGAUUCCACCUCACCCCACAAAGAAUGGCUGCUUUCAAGAAAUCAACCAAAAACAAAUGUUGGCAGGGUUGUGGGGAGAAUGGAACCCUUCUCCAUUGCUGGUGGGAGUGCAGACUGGUGCAACCACUGUGGAAAUCAAUAUGAAGGUACCUCAAACAACUAGGAUUACAAGUUCUAUUUAACCCAGUUAUCCUUCUGUUGGAUAUCUUUCCAAAAGAAUUAAAAGAAUCAUAGCACAGUGAUAUAUGCACACCCAUGUCUACAGCAUCACAGCGUGUAAUGGCUAAAACGUGGAAACAGCCCAGUUUCCCAUCAAUUGGAGAUUGGAUAAAGAAGAAGUGGUUUUUCUAUAAAACAGAAUACUACUCAGCCAUAAAGAAUGAAAAACUAGAGUCACGCAUAGGAGAAUGGACGUACUCUUAAGUGAAAUAAAUAGGACGCAAGUGUAAAAACCAAACAGUUUCUCUGGUGUGAAAAACUAAAAGUGUAAAUAAGAUCCAAAUUGUAUAACUGAUAAUGUGAAAUAGGAAGAAAACGGCUAAAGGUGUAGGGGAAGUGGGAAGGGUAGGGCAAAGGAAAUAAGGGAAAAGAAAAGAUAUGAGAAAAUGAAAAAAUGGAAACAAAGUCUUUGUAAAUAGGGGAGGUUGGAGGGGGUGAAGAGAGAGCAGGGGUAUGGGGGAAAAAUGAGGACCAAGAUCUGUCAUGUAAAGGUACACGAUCCCAAUGAUGAAUUCAACUGUUCUGUAUGAAAAGUACCAAUAAACUCAAUGAAAAAAAAGAAUAAAGAAAGCAUAAAGUAUUCUGAUAAUGAUUCAGGCUCUGACACUAAUUCUAGGCUGAUGAUGAUGAUGAUGAUGAUGAUAAAAGGAGAGUCAAAAAAAUAAGAGGACUAAAAAUCUCAGUGACACAAGCUGUAAAAUUUCAGAAGAGAAGUUGCCAGAAAGAAUCUAGAUUGAGCAGUCAAAGACUUCAGAUACCAUGGGUUUAAUAGGUCCAGAAGCACUGAUAAUGCAUAUCUGCCAGGAUGAGAAGCCUUUAAAUUAUGGCCAUGCUCUGCUAUGGCAGAGUAUGGAAAAGCUAGAAAGUGAAUCCCACAAAAGAGGUGAAAUUGGCUUGACAAGUGAAGUGACGGCCUCCUUUGAAGGCCCAGGCUGUCAUGAGUGGUCACAGGCAUGGCAGAAUGGAGGCUUUUUGACUGGGUAAGGAGAACCAGAGGUACAGUGCUGAGGAGAAGAGCACUCUUUCAUCCUUUAACAAAGAAGAGAGAUAAAACAGGGAACAAGAUUCUGGUCCAGAGAUGGUGUACAGAAGGACAAAAGUGAAAGAUAACGAGUAAUGACAUUUCUGUUACACAGUGGGACAUUUUACAACAGAAGUUUUAUAUGACCACACUAUGACUUAGUAUUGUAAGUCUUUACUGUGCUUUUGUGCUGUGUUAGCAAGUUCCUCAGAAAAAGCUACUUUUUGAGAUACCUAGUAACAUUUUGCUUUUUUAAAGUAAUAUGUGCCAAUAGUUUUUAAAAAGAGGAAAAUAUUACAGGAGUAGAGUUAGUAAAAGGUGAGUCUGUUAUUAUAAUGCCUGAUUCCCUACCUCCAAAGAAACUUCUUCUUGGUACUUGUUCAUAGUUUCGUGUAUAUAUGUGUGUAGCAGACACCUUUGUCCAGUAUUAGUAGGCUAUAGUGGCACAAGCUUCUUGCCCCUCCCUAAUUUGGCUGCGUUACAUUGGAAAUUGCAGGGCUUGACUGAAUUCACUUCCAGUCAAGGUCACCUAACUCCAGAUAAAUUCUCCCUCUCUGAAUUAACUGUUGGUUCUCUUCACCAAAGAUAUAUUGUUCCCUCCUUCUACAGUCCUGCCUGCUUGAUACUUGUUAUCAGCAGGUGUCCCAAGGUCUGCCCAGUUUCCCCCCUCCCUACACUUGUAGUGAAUAAACACUGGAUGUCCUGGGAGUCCUUUAUCUUUGCUGCCCAGAGUGGCUUAGAUCAGCCCAAGAUUCAGGUUCUCUCAACUCUCUUGUCUCUCUUGUGUUUCCUUUAAUUCCCAC
rnacentral:lncRNA from 1 species